rnacentral:misc_RNA from 1 species
UGUUACGAGAGAGUACAAUUUUCAAAUAUGGCAGAAUGUGAUGUUAGAAGUGACGAAGACUUGAGUGCAAACUUAACUAAUAGCUCUAAAUUGCCAAAAAAUGUUUUUAAUAACGAAGAAGUCCAGACAGAAGGUUUCCAUAGACAAGAAUCAGAUUUAGGAAUACCCCAACCUCGAACAUUUUCAGGUUAUUCGAUUGCAUCACUGUUGGAAAUCCCAAACCGGCUAAGUAACUGCCUUAAUGAUGGUAUGUCAUCAGACUACACAGAGCUUCAAACACCGAUAGAAGAAAGUGAUCCUGGAGAUCUGGUGAAGGCAUGGGAUAUGAACUACCAUGAGGCCGCUAUAUAUCUUGAGGAAGGAGAAAACAAUGAUAAAUUUGAUUACCACCCUCGAAGUAAAGAUGCUCUACCUGCAUAUUUGUUAGUACACAACAUCUGGUUUUAUAGCUUGGAUCUAAUAGCUGCUGUGAUGCUGAUGGGACUUGCUUUAGUGGAGAAACCAGCUGUUCCAGGCUUUCAUCUAGACCCUGGGAUCCACGCCUCCCUGGAAUUGCUGGGCCUGUUUGUUGUUGGCAUUGAACUCGUAAUGAAACUUCGUUGGAUGGGAAUUAAUCCAUUUUUUAAGCAUAAACGUUCUCUCAUAAAACUUGUUGCUCUAGUACUGAUGGUCAUAGAAAGUGUGGUAGUUAUUGCUCGACAGACAAAUCACUUUCGUAUUAGUCGUGCACUUCGCCCUGUGUAUUUAAUUGACAAUUAUCACUGUGGAGGGAUUCGAAGAGUAACCAGACAGAUUCUACAGUCUCUUCCCCCUAUUUUAGAAAUGUUAGGACUGCUUCUAUUCUUUAUGUUGAUCUUCUCAGUUUUAGGAUUUUAUUUAUUUACUUCAAAUCCAAAGGAUCCAUAUUUUUCAACAUUACAAGGAAGUUUUGUCAGCCUUUUUGUUUUACUCACUACAGCCAAUUAUCCUGAUGUCAUGAUGCCUGCUUAUGCCGCUUCCCGUUGGUCAGCUAUAUUUUUCAUUGUAUUUCUCAUCAUUCAUCUGUACUUCAUAAUGAACAUGAUGCUAGCUGUCGUGUAUGAAACUUUCACUCGAAUUGAAAAAGACAAGUUCAGAAAACUGUUAUUGCACAGAAGAAAAGCUUGUCAACAUGCUUUCCGGUUGCUGGUUAAUCGAGCUCAUCCUACACAAAUUUCUUUCCGACACUUUCAAGGUCUUAUGCACCAUUUCAAGCCCAAAGUCUGUAAGAGAGAUGUCUACUUAAUGUUUAAAACACUGGAUACAAGCAGAACUAGAUAUCUGACACUCGAUGAAUUUUAUCACAUUUAUGAAGUUGGAGCUCUCAGUUGGAAGGCUCAAAAAGCAGAAGAUUUAUGGUUUAGUGAAUUUCACAGUCCAUUUUUGGAGAUUUGUUCCUCAAUCCAAAAGCUUGUUAUUUCCAGAUGGUUCAACUACUUCAUAGUUUUAGUGAUUAUAGCCAAUGGCAUCUGGCAAGUUGUAGAAGCAUCAGAAAUAUCAGGUGUGGGUGAAGGAAAACUUGAUACAUAUGUAGUGACUCAUCACAUCAAGAGUUAUGGAAUAGCUGGAACUUGGGUUUCAGUUGGAUUUAUUGUUGCUUACUCAGUAGAAGCUCUAUUGAAGAUUGUUGGUCUGGGUCUGUUUGGAUACUUCCAAUCAGGCUGGAACAUAUAUGAUUUUACUGUCACAGUUUUGGGUCUUGCUGGAGUAAUUGCAGAACACUUUAAUGUUCCUUUCUCUUUUGUUAUAAUUUUACGUCCACUUCGUUUAUUAAGGUUAUUUAAAAUGAAUCGUCGAUAUCGUGAUGUACUUGGUACUGUUUUUAUUGUGCUACCUCGGUUUGGUAGUGUCGCCUUAGUCUUGCUGAUUGUGUACUACUUCUUUGCCAUCAUUGGAAUGGAGCUGUUUUCUGACUUUAAUAUGAUAAACUGUUGCAAGAACACUACAGUGGAACAGUUUUAUCAUUUUGAUAACAGCUCAUUGGCUGAAGGUUACUAUUAUUUAAACAACUUUGAAAAUAUCAUCAACAGCUGUAUUACCCUCUUUGAGUUGAUGGUGGUCAACAAUUGGUUUAUCAUCAUGGAUGGUUAUGCUGCUGUAGCAACAGAGUGGAGUCGGAUUUUUUUCAUGCUUUUCUAUGUGGUUACAAUGGUGGUUAUAAAUAUCAUCAUAGCUUUCAUUCUUGAGGCCUUCUUGUUUAGAAUUCAGUAUAAACGAAAGAUGGGGGAUAUGGACAAGGACAGCUUGGUUCGAGUAGAUGUGGCAUUGACUCGUCAAGAACUAGACUUCUGUUACACUCAUUCUAAUCUUUCAAUCUCACAACUUCUUCACUAUACACACAACCUUACAGAACAAUAUAUACUCUACAGAGGAACUCGUACUCGCACCAAGUUCUCAUUUAGCCUCAAAAUGUAUGCUGAAGAAGUGAAGUGUUGGCUCCAACAAGCUGAAGAAAAAGAAAGACAGCAGAGAGAAGAGUUACUUGCUAAGGUACAGGAACUGUCUAUUUCACAACAACCCACAAUUCAACAAGAACGAACACGGCGAACUUUUAGUGUGUAGACAUUAAUCCUAUUAAUGAGAAGACAAAAAUUAAAACCAGUCUUCCUGUAUAAUUAUCCUCAGAUACUCAACACAGUUAUUAUCAAAAGUGGUGCGUUUACCAAUCAACAUAGCACUUGCACUAAAGUAUUUUUUAUUAGUCACAACAAAGUGGGAGUUUAGAAGUCUUUACAUACAUAUAUUCAGAUCAUUGGACAUUUUUUAAAAGAUCUUGUUUGAAAUUAACUUUGUUACAGGGUUGGCCUUUUUGGAAAUUUUACUUGAUAAUUGCAAGACGUCUAUUAUUGAAAGUCUCAUGUGAAAAGUUUUGGAAAAGUUCUUCUAAAAAAUUAUCUAAAGUCACAAGAAUGUCAGGAAUUUAAUCUGCAGGUUUCAUAUAAUUUUAAGUCCUUCCUUACAAAUCUUAACUCUUUCAGCCCUGGCUUGUUAUAGUUUUC